rnacentral:rRNA from 1 species
UGGGUGGCGAGUGGCGGACGGGUGAGGAAUACAUCGGAAUCUACUUUUUCGUGGGGGAUAACGUAGGGAAACUUACGCUAAUACCGCAUACGACCUACGGGUGAAAGCAGGGGAUCUUCGGRCCUUGCGCGAUUGAAUGAGCCGAUGUCGGAUUAGCUAGUUGGCGGGGUAAAGGCCCACCAAGGCGACGAUCCGUAGCUGGUCUGAGAGGAUGAUCAGCCACACUGGAACUGAGACACGGUCCAGACUCCUACGGGAGGCAGCAGUGGGGAAUAUUGGACAAUGGGCGCAAGCCUGAUCCAGCCAUACCGCGUGGGUGAAGAAGGCCUUCGGGUUGUAAAGCCCUUUUGUUGGGAAAGAAAUCCAGCCGGCUAAUACCUGGUUGGGAUGACGG